ACGUAGGAGGCGAGCGUUAUCCGGAGUUACUGGGCGUAAAGCGUGCGCAGGCGGUUCUGUAAGUGGCUUGUGAAAGCGCCCGGCUAAACCGGGCGAGGACAGGUCAGACUGCAGGGCUGGGAUGGAACAGAGGGCUGUGGAAUUCCGGGUGUAGCGGUGAAAUGUGCAGAGAUCCGGAGGAACACCAGAGGUGAAGACGGCGGCCUGGGUUCCAAUCGACGCUGANGCACGACAGCGUGGGGAGCGAACGGGAUUAGAGACCCCGGUAGUCCACGCCGUAAACGAUGCAGACUAGAUGUUCGUGCCGGGAAACCGGGAUGAGCGUCGCAGCUAACGCGAUAAGUCUGCCGCCUGGGGAGUACGGUCGCAAGACUA
rnacentral:rRNA from 1 species